GAUGAAGAACGUAGCGAAAUGCGAUAAGUAGUGUGAAUUGCAGAAUUCAGUGAAUCAUCGAAUCUUUGAACGCACAUUGCGCCCCUUGGUAUCCCGAGGGGCAUGCCUGUUCGAGCGUCAUUUCACCACUCAAGCCUGGCUUGGUGUUGGGCGACGUCCCCUUUGGGGACGCGCCUCGAAACGCUCGGCGGCGUGGCACCGGCUUUAAGCGUAGCAGAAUCUUUCGCUUUGGAAGUCGGGGCCCCUUCUGCCGGAAGACCUACUCGCAAGGUUGACCUCGGAUCAGGCAGGGAUACCCGCUGAACUUAAGCAUAUCAAUAAGCGGAGGA
rnacentral:misc_RNA from 1 species